rnacentral:rRNA from 1 species
GGGUAACGGCUCACCAAGGCGACGAUACAUAGCCGACCUGAGAGGGUGAUCGGCCACACUGGGACUGAGACACGGCCCAGACUCCUACGGGAGGCAGCAGUAGGGAAUCUUCGGCAAUGGACGGAAGUCUGACCGAGCAACGCCGCGUGAGUGAAGAAGGUUUUCGGAUCGUAAAGCUCUGUUGUAAGAGAAGAACGAGUGUGAGAGUGGAAAGUUCACACUGUGACGGUAUCUUACCAGAAAGGGACGGCUAACUACGUGCCAGCAGCCGCGGUAAUACGUAGGUCCCGAGCGUUGUCCGGAUUUAUUGGGCGUGCGAGCGCAGGCGGUUAGAGUCUGAAGUUGGCUGUGGCUUACCAUAGUACGCUUUGG